rnacentral:tRNA from 1 species
GGCCCCUUGGCGGAAUGGCAUACGCAGAGGAUUUAAAAUCCUUGGCCCGGAAGGGCGUGCCGGUUCGAGUCCGGCAGGGGCUA